CCAAUAGCGUAUAUUAAAGUUGUUGCAGUUAAAAAGCUCGUAGUUGAAUUUCGGGAUCAGUUGGUCGGUCGUGCCUCGGUACGUACUGGUCAAAUUGAUUCCUACCUUCUGACGAACCACGAUGUCAUUAAUUUGGUGUCGUGGGAAAUCAGGACUGUUACUUUGAAAAAAUUAGAGUGUUUAAAGCAGGCUCGCGCUUGAAUACAUUAGCAUGGAAUAAUGAAAUAGGACGUUUGAUUCUAUUUUGUUGGUUUCUAGGAUCGACGUAAUGAUUAAUAGGGAUAGUUGGGGGCAUUAGUAUUCAAUUGUCAGAGGUGAAAUUCUUGGAUUUAUUGAAGACUAACUACUGCGAAAGCAUUUGCCAAGGAUGUUUUCAUUAAUCAAGAACGAAAGUUAGGGGAUCGAAGACGAUCAGAUACCGUCGUAGUCUUAACCAUAAACUAUGCCGACUAGGGAUCGGAUGAUGUUAAUUUUUUAAUGACUCAUUCGGCGCCUUACG
rnacentral:rRNA from 1 species